rnacentral:rRNA from 1 species
UACGAAGGGUGCAAGCGUUAAUCGGAAUUACUGGGCGUAAAGCGUGCGCAGGCGGUUCGUUAAGACAGAUGUGAAAUCCCCGGGCUUAACCUGGGAACUGCAUUUGUGACUGGCGAGCUAGAGUAUGGCAGAGGGGGGUAGAAUUCCACGUGUAGCAGUGAAAUGCGUAGAGAUGUGGAGGAAUACCGAUGGCGAAGGCAGCCCCCUGGGCCAAUACUGACGCUCAUGCACGAAAGCGUGGGGAGCAAACAGG